rnacentral:rRNA from 1 species
GAUGAACGCUAGCUACAGGCUUAACACAUGCAAGUCGAGGGGCAUCACAGUGUAGCAAUACACGGGUGGCGACCGGCGCACGGGUGCGUAACACGUAUCCAAUCUGCCCGUUACUCGGGGAUAGCCUUCUGAAAGGAAGAUUAAUACCCGAUGGCAUGUAUUUCCGGCAUCGGAGAUACAUUAAAGAUUUAUCGGUAACGGAUGAGGAUGCGUACGAUUAGCUGGUUGGCGGGGUAACGGCCCACCAAGGCGACGAUCGUUAGGGGUUCUGAGAGGAAGGUCCCCCACACUGGAACUGAGACACGGUCCAGACUCCUACGGGAGGCAGCAGUGAGGAAUAUUGGUCAAUGGUCGGAAGACUGAACCAGCCAUGCCGCGUGAAGGUCACGGCCCUAUGGGUCUUAAACUUCUUUUGCGAGGGAGCAAUAAGGUCUACGUGUAGUCCGAUGAGAGUACCUCGCGAAUAAGCAUCGGCUAACUCCGUG